GUUUCAGUCUGCAGUUACCCAGACACAGACACAGAGGAAGUAAGAGGUGACUGCCUUCUCAAAAAAGGUACCAAGCUACGUGGCUAACACAGUUGUGGUCUUCUGUAUUAACCACGUCUCUGGUGAGAUCUGCGAGCUGCACUGGGCUAUGUGCACAGCAAAUGGAAUUCAGAUGGAAGGUUGAUAGCAUGCUUCACAGAAAGACAGCAAAAGGCUCAGCUCACCCCAGGAGCCUGGAGCUCCCCAACCAUGGGAUACUGGCAGCGACAAGACACUUCGAAGAGGAAGGAAGGAAGGAAGGAAGGAAGGAAGGAAGGAAGGAAGGAAGGAAGGAAGGAAGGAAGGAAGGAACAAAUGAAAGAAAUCCUCCCUAUUCCAGAGACAGUACCCACACCCCCUCUUUCUUUACUCCGCAUCAAGAACUAAAUCUCCAGCAUGGGGUGGCCACAGCUCCUUCCUUGCCACCACUACUGUGCUGUGACCACUACUGGGGCCUUGUGGUGAGGCUGGAAGAGCCGAAGGGGCCCAGGAUCUGUGACAGUCACUUACUGAGACCAUUAUAAAUAUCUUAUGAAAUUAAUUCAUUAGCAAAACAGAAUAUAAAUUUUGAGAUUUUAAGCUGAUAGUAAUAAUAAUUUAGGGCUAAAAAUUAAGACCAUCAAGAUCCCUAAGUUACUUACUAGUUUAAGCGUUUUGCUUACUUUUGUGUGUGUGGUGCUGCAGAUCAGACCCAGGACGUCAGGUAUGUUAGGUGUGAUUGCUCUUCUAGAUUGCCAACUUGACUACAUCUGGGGUAAGUAAACCCUAAGCGGUUGUGCACACCUGUGAGGCUUUUCCUUAAUCAGUUCAAGUGUGAAGCCCCACCUCUACCAUGGAUCUCUGAGAUGGGAAGGUCCACCUCUAACCUGGAUCACACCUUCGGCUGGUGGACUGUAUAAAGGACGUGGGACAACGAAGCUGGCUUUCUCUCCCUCUGCCUGCUUGUCUUGCUCCCGGUCUCAAUAGCAAGUCCAUUGCUGGCAUUAGAGCCUAAUUCCUCACUGAAGACCAGCUAAGACAUCCAGACUUGUUAAAGAACAACACUGGGUUCUUGGACCAUUUCCUGGUGGACAGCCAUUGCUGGACCAGCUGGACCAACACCUGUGAGCCAUUCUAAUACCCUCCUCUGUCUAUUCAAUACAUACAUAUCAUUCCGUAAGUCCCGUUCCUCUGGAGAACCCUAACACACCAGGCAAGUGUUCUACCAUUGAGCUACACCGCAGUAAGAGUAUCUUGAUAUGAACCAGUAUCUUAAUAUGCUAAUCUCUGGGACCCCCCCCCCCAGUGGUGAGGAAAGGGUACUAAUCUCUGGGACACCCCGAGUGGUGAGGGAAGGAAAGGGUACUAAUCUCUGGAACACCCCGAGUGGUAAGGGAAGGAAAGGGUACUAAUCUCUGGGACACCCCGAGUGGCGAGGAAAGGCUACUCUAUCUCUGGUAAAGAUGUAGUAACUUCCUGGAGAGUUCGCAGCUGCUUCUGGUAUCCAGCACGUCUUCAUUAAGCCACUCGGCUUACGGCUCUGUGACUUGGAUUUCCUUCCCCUCAGACGAUACUGCUUGAUAUUUACACACAGGAGAAAGACAGACGCCUCUUGCUUGAAAGCACUUCAGCUAAAGUGAGUGCAUCCCCACUCGGGUUCCCACCUGGCCUCCUCCAGCAGCAGCAGCAGCCUGUUUACACAGGGGUUUGGGGGAUUGCCUCUCUCUGAGAAGCACACAAGUACACAACAGCUUAAAGGAGCCCCUAGGGCUGUUUCCCCGUGAGGGGACAGAGCCAAACUGUUACCGUGCUACAGAAAUGAACAAAAGGAAACAGUUGAAGCGGGCCCUGAGACCAGCGGCUGCCACACUGUGCAACAGGAACACAGGAUCUAAGCUAGGGAUGAAGAAACACGCAACACUAAUUCAGAGUGGAUUUUAAGGGGUUUCCUUUCCAUUCUCAGCAGUGUAGAACCAGACCCUGUGUGCUGACAUUUACUUAGCAGUGGUUGUUUACUGUGGAGUGGGGGCUGACAUGUGCUGUGGGUGUGGA